UGCAACCCCAGAGCAAGGCCUGUGAAAAUAAACAUUCAAGUUGGAUCUGCCCCUCCUGGGCCACCAUACGGGUCCUGUCCACCUUGAUCACUCGCCUGGACAAUGAUGCACAGACGGGACCCGCAAUGUGCAGAGACAUUACAUCUGAACACAGCUGUACCCUGGCUUCUUCUCUCAGGCCCAGAGGGAUCCAGUUUGACCCUAGUCAGCUCUUCCCUUCCUCGGCUCAACAGUCCCACGGCUCCAUGGGGGAAAAGCCGAAGUCCUCACAGCGGCCCACAAAGCCUGUACAGUCUGUGCCCCCAUCGUGCCUGAGACUCCCUCCCCUCAUCUGUGCUCCUGCUGCAUUGGCCUCCUGGUUAUUCCUCCCAGAUAACCCUAGGUGGUCAGCGCUGUUACUCUCCAGUUUACAGAUGGGGGAAACCGAGGCACAGAACCAUCAUGUAAUUUGUCCAAGCUCACCCAGUGGGUGGACCCUGCCAGGGCCCCUCCCUCUGGAUUUCAUGAAGUCUCCUGUCAACAUCGCAGGCUCAGAGCUGCUGGUUUCCCCCGGAGUCAGCUGGUGAAGCCACAGGAGAAGCGGGCGCCUGCUCCCGCCCCGCGUGACGGAUUUUGUUUACCCUCUUCUUCCCACAGAUUCCUCCCUUAAUAACCCUGGAGCCAGGAGGCUCCCUGGCAGGGAUGGGGGAGACGGGGUCUGGGUGGAGGCAUUGAGGCAGCUCCCACGGCGGUGUGGGGAGUACCAGGACAGUGCCCGCUAGAAAGAAGCUAGGUUUCUAAGCAAUACAAGAGACAUUCCAUUGGCUCCAGAGGGGUCCGCAUUUUGGGAGAGAGCUAAGUUGUUCUGGAAGCUGCGUUCACUCUUUGAUGUCAUUAGCAAUCCAUGGAGGAGCUUCUAAACGCAGAAGGCUGAGUCCUGAUGAGAGUCUCAGACAGACUCGUCACCCCAGUCACAGCCUGGUUAUAAAUACAGCCUCAGAUGUCAACUGAGCCCUGAUCCUGACCCUAACUUGGGCCCUUGCCCUGGUUGCAGAUGGAGCUCUGGCUCUGGCCCUGGUUCCACACUGACCCCAAUCCUAGCUAUAGCCUAAGCCUGAAUUUGUCCCUCAAAUAAGGCCUAUUUCUGUUUAUAGGUUUGCCAUUGACCCUGGUCAGAGACUGAAGCCUGGCCCUAGUCAUAGCCUGGGCCCUGAUCCUAAAAAUAGACUGUGCCCUGACCUUAGUUCCAAGCUGAGCCCUGUUCCUGGUCAUAGCCUGGGCCCUGACCUUGGUCAUAGAACUGGGUUUCAGGUCACAGACGGAGCCCGGGUUCUGGCCGUAGAAUUAGGCCUGAUCUUGAUCUUACACAGACCUCUGAUGCUAACUGUAGACUAAUUCUUUUUUUUUUAAAGCUUUUUUUUUUUUAAUUUUAUUUAUUUAUUUGACAGAGAGAGACAGCCAGCGAGAGAGGGAACACAAGCAGGGGGAGUGGGAGAGGAAGAAGCAGGCUUAUAGCGGAGGAGCCCGAUGUGGGGCUCGAUCCCAUCACGCCGGGAUCACGCCCUGAGCCGAAGGCAGACGCUCAACUGCUGUGCCACCCAGGUGCCGCUGUAGACUAAUUCUUAAUGGUGGUUCAUGGACUGAACUAAGCCUUGAUCAUGACUGUAUACUUGAACCUCCUCUUCAUCCUCGUCUGAGCCCAAACAUUACCCAGCUGAAGCCUAACCUGAGUUAUAGACUGAGUCUUCAGCUCCGAUCCUGGUCCCCAGAUGACUUCUAGUCCCAGCUCCUAACUGAGCCCCGACUCUCCUGGUCAUAGACGGAGCACUAACUUCAUCCUUGGAUGACCCAUUGACCAGGUUCGAGGCUGAACCCUCCCCUGGUUACACACUGAGCUCUAAGCCCAGCCCCAGGCUGAGCCCCAGGCCUGGACGCUGCCAGACCAUACACCGAGUCCUCAGAUUCAGCUCUCUCAAGACUAUCCCCUUGGAAGUAUAAGCCUGCCCCCUGGAAAGGGACCAAGGUAGCCCAUCUGUGCUCAUUCCUCGGUCAGGAGAUGCCCGGAAGGAAUGGCUCAUGGAACUAGCUUUGAGAGGCAAGAGACGGACGGAAACAGAAACAAUGGCUUCCAAAGGAGAAAUGGAGCUGGGCAAGUGGCUCUCCUCGAGGAAUAAGAAGGGCAAAAGAGAACACAUGGUGUUUGUUUGUUUGUUUUUAAUAUUUGUAUUUUUUUAAAAGAUUUUUUACUUAUUUAUUUGACAGAGAGAGACAGCCAGCGAGAGAAGGACACAAGCAGGGGGAGUGGGAGAGGA